rnacentral:piRNA from 1 species
UAAGACUCUGUGUCUAAUCCUAUCUGUUGC